AGGGGUAGGUCAGUCAGGAUCCUAUCAGGAGACAGAAUCUAUUCCACGUAUUGUUAACAGAGAAAGAAGUAUUAACCAGGUCACUGGAAGGCAAAAAGAGAACCUAAGAUAUCAUUAACGUACCAAUUGAAGGAAGUAGUUACUGCCCUAAGGCUGGGGAAUAAAGGGAAGUGGUUGCACUUGGCAACCUAAGGCUUGACAAAAGGUCCCUACUCAGCUGGAACACAGACCUCUGAGAGGAUCUCUAGUGUCUGAGCUCAAGGAGGGGCGCCAAAGUCACUCCCCAUCUCCAAGUACUCUGGCAACUGGGGCUGAUGCCUUUGAAGAGGGCAACAGGCUGGUUGUGUGAAUGUUGGAGAAACUGCAACUAAAUACCACUGUCAGUCUGGAAAGGGGCUACUGCCUCAGGAAACGGUGGUGAUGUUGACAGGAAGCCAACAGGAAGAGGCAAGUCCCUUCCUCCUCCAAUCUCAGUCUCCCUCCAACACUGUGGCCAACAGGGAGCCAACUGGUGAAGCAGAGAUGAGGUUUGAAGAGUCCCAGAUUCUCAACGAGGACAUGAAAGACAAGCCGAUCCGAUUGCAGAAGAGGGACCCUGUGGUCUGCUGGUUAGAGAAAAGUCCUGGAAGCCUGAGCGGGCCCACGGUUUACAGCAUAGCUGAGCAACUGACUCACUCUGAAACCCAGGGUUGCAUCGUUUAACCUCACGGGGCUUGUUGUCCAUCCAGCUGGAAAAUGUGGAAAGAUGUGAGGCUGAACUGAAAAUCAUUUGCGGCCCUGCUGAUUUGCUGGGCCACAGGGCACAGUUUGAGACUGCUGGUCUGACUGAGUACCAGCCCCGUGGGCUGUGACUGGGAAAGGCACACCUUGCAAGAAGCAACUAGAGUUCAUGCUGAUGAGAAUCUCCUCUACAGGAGAGAGAAGCCUCUCUGCAGAAUCAGUGGCUGAGGAUUUCUAGUCUCUGUUCCUGUCUGGUCUCUGUCAAUAAUCAGAUUUCCCUAAAUGGACCUUCAGUGGAUCUUAGUAGUAUCUAGAUCCCCAGCUUGCCAGCUCAUGGUGACUGUGCUCGGCAGGGUAAAUACCCUGCAGUGCCCCUUGCACCUUGUUCCAAGGAUCUGCAGAGCCUGUGGGGACUGAGGGUCAGAUCAGAUUUGCUGAACCAGAGAAGGACUUGAGGGAACAGAGGAGCAAUCUCUGGUUUCCAAACAGGAGUUAACAUAAAACACAUAUCUUUGAAUGGAAAGAAAAUUGAUUGAAAUUUGGUGAGUUAAGUUAAAAGGGAAAACAAUUCGAGGAAGGGACUGUUUAUCUCAUAGGAAAUUGACAUUUGGUAUUGCCUUCAGGUUUCUGAAAGGCAAUAAAGUAUCCCAGGCAUGAUGGCUUCCGAUCUGGGAACUUAAAAAAUGUUGGUAGCGGGAGACUGGCCUUUGAAGGUGACACGUCUGAUAAAACCUACAAAAGUCUUGAUGGGUACUAGGUAGUUCACUAUAAGCCACAAGGGAAUUUCCAAACUGCCCGGGAACACAAUAAAUUUUGCUUGAAUUGACUCUUUUAUUCCCAAGGCUAAUAAUAUUUGGUUUGUGUUUAAAACACCUUUUAGCUCAGCUAGCAGGUCAAAGGAGAAUUAUUUGGGGUAAAUAAACCAUUAGGAUAGAAGCAGAAAUAACAAGAUAAACAUGGCUGUUUACUCACUGUUCACAAAUCCACAUACAGCAG
ensembl:lncRNA